GGUGAAGCUAUUGGUAUGGGUUUUCCUGUGAAAGUUCCCUACAGGAAAAUCACAAUUAACCCUGGCUGUGUGGUGGUUGAUGGCAUGCCCCCGGGGGUGUCCUUCAAAGCCCCCAGCUACCUGGAAAUCAGCUCCAUGAGAAGGAUCUUAGACUCUGCCGAGUUUAUCAAAUUCACGGUCAUUAGACCAUUUCCAGGACUUGUGAUUAAUAACCGUGAGUAUUUUGUGAAGUGUUUUGUUUUUGUUUUUUCCUGGGGUCUGACGUGUGUGCGUGUGAGUGUGUAUACAUGCUUAACAUAUAUCACGUUACUUCACCUAUGUCAGUAACCAUGGCAAAUACUUGUUUUAGCCCUCAGUAAAAACACCAGGCACUUCCUAGUUGUAAAAUUAUUCAAGCUUCUUAACUUCCUAUCCUCGAUGCACUUAAUCAUAAAAUGGUAAUAAUAGCACCGAUUUUGGGGGAGUCGUUCCAGUAGAUGGAAAGCAUCUGGAACAGGUGUCAGCAAGCUCCUGCCGACGUGUAUGCAUAAAGUUUUAUUGAAACCACCAUCGUGU
rnacentral:sRNA from 1 species